ensembl:ncRNA Y105C5A.17 ncRNA
GUUUACCCUGGAUUGCCAGUUGCUUUCCCGAAAAAAUCUGCAGUUUCACGUUUGUGUGUUAAUUGUUGUCAGUUUCCUUCCCGCAGAUAUUUCAGCAGUUUCACGCUUCUGUGUUAAUGAACAACGGGAAAUUGAGCAACAUUAGCGACAAGCAUUAUCCAUUUUAUACUCAUUGAAUCAUUCUCCGAUACACACCUCUGAUUGUAAGAAUUCUCAGUAUUGUAUAAAAAAAUCUACAAAGGGUCGUGACAACUCAAACGAAGAGUGGCACGGCUGUGGAACUACUGACUGCACUAGCGCUGGCUGUAAGAAAAACGCCGAUGGUAGCAACGUUUGCUGUUGCCAAGGAUAUCUCUGUAAUUCCGGAAUGAGUUUCUCAAAAACUGAAUUUUCUUCACUUCUUCUUACAGUUCUUUCGGUGAUUUACAUGUACGUUUAAUGAGAAGAGCAUGUAUUGAUUUUUGCCAGAAAAUGAAAAUAUUUGUCAGCAUUUUGAAACA